rnacentral:tRNA from 1 species
GGAAUCGUGGCAGAAUGGCAAGUGCAUCUGACUUUUAAUCAGACUUAAGUGGGUUCGAUUCCCGCCGGUUCCACCA